rnacentral:rRNA from 1 species
CUGAGAGUUUGAUUCUGGCUCAGAACGAACGCUGGCGGAAGGCUUAACACAUGCAAGUCGAG